UUUGCAUAGAAUUAGUAUUAUUUGCAUUGCAAUAUGUUAUGAUCCCCAGGUAGCUGAGAAACGAGUCUCACCCUUGAGAGUUAUUCUAUCAGGCCUGACCUAACUAAGAGGUCAAAUAAAUAUAGAUAUGAAGAUACAUACGUAAAACAAUGGGUUAAAUUUGACAGACAAUUUAAGAAUAUGGGCAGUGAAUAAGAUUAUAAAUGAAUGAAUGGUCAGAUGAUGUGGAGAAUUCGCUGGAGGUGUGAGGCUCGCUUCAGACGAGCUUGAGCUCACUUGAGCGGAAGAGAUCGUGAGGGGAGGGCGUGCUCCGUUUGAUCCCCCGGUGAAGAAGAACCUGUGUUUGAUAUACCUUCAAGAGGAAGGAAGUGGACAGACGUCUCGACUGAGGAAUAAGUUGGGAGGCGUGUCAGCUCAAGUCAUGAACUGCAGAAGGUGUUAUGGAGCAGUUCUGUGGUUUAUCUUGAGGCGCCCCGAGUGUCGCCGCCCGGCCAGCGAGGGCGCCAAAAUCUGUGAUUUGUCCCGAGGAAGGAGUUGAUGGGAGUACUCUUGAGGCCAGAGAAGACGCUAAUGAGUAGAUCUUCAAGGAGUGGAUGUUGCACUCUGUGGAAGAGCAAGCUCCGUAGUGUGGAAUUGGACCUCAAACUGUGUGAAGAGGAGCAGUGAAGUCUCUCAUGCCUCUGUGGAAUCAGUGGUGGAGUAUCACUGGAGUCCACGGGAAACUUCAUGGUUACCUUACCUUGAGGUGCUUCCGGGGCUUAGCGUCCCCGCGGCCCGGUCGUCGACCAGGCCUCCUGGUCUGGUGUAGCAGCCUGGAAGACCUGUAGCGACCAUCCUGGUAGAUUGAAAUAAGUUUAUUGAGGUUUAUGGAAGAGAUACGGAACGUGAGCAAGCCAGGCACGUGUCGUCCAAAUUUCCUGUCCUCAUCUACGCCACAAGCAAUAUAUACUGGUCCUCAGGUCUCGACUUGAGAGAACGUCGUGUGCAACCAGCAUGGAGGAUGUGGUUGUAGAACAUUCACGAGCAACAUAACUGUGCAACAAGUGCACCUCUGAACCCGCCUGUUGAGAAACAUUAACCUCAAAAUAAGGGAGAGUGGUGUAUGACCUCGUCUCAUAACUAGGGAACCCGAGAUGAUUGGCCAGAGAGGAAGACGGAAGCAGAUGAUGACUGUUCCAUUCACGUGACGCAUGUGGCAGGAGCUGUCUCAAAAGUUGUCAACUUUGAUGACCAAAUGACACGUCAGAAGCUGAAGAGUCGACGUUUCGAUCCGUCUUGGACCGAAACGAUGAUGGUCCAGUAUCAUAAUGGAGUUGAUGAUGAUCCAGGACGGACCCCGAAACGUUGUAGUUUGUUCAUCAUAUCUUCAGGCAAGUUAGUCACUCAUCGUCUGUGUCAACUUUGUGACCAAGAAAACAUGCAUUUUCUUGAUUGUCCGAU